CUUGCUCCUAAAGGUGUUGCAGAUGUAGCUACUGUGACACAUGUGCAACAGUAGGUGGCAGAGAGGAGAAAGGCUAUGUCUAUGCUCAGUGUUCUGACCUGUAAACAUCUGAAUAAUUAGUAUCCUAACAUU